GUGACUAGCACUUCCUUCCUGCCUUGUGGGUCUUGUGUCCUGGUGUUGGAGGAGAGAGGAGCUUGUUCAGCCCAGUCUGGAGUGGCAUGCUCUUCUUGGUUCAGCCCAAAGACACAGGCUUCUAAAGGUGGAUAUCCUUCAAAGUUGUCCUAAAGGAGAGCACGUUGAGAAGUACUGCAAAGCCUAGUCUUGGGCUUUCUACUUUUGCUGAAAUGUUGGUAGCACAAAAGAGGAGGUGCCAAAGAACUGGUGAAGAAAAGAGCACAAGAGUUAAGAGAGACCCAGAAGAAAAUUCCCUCAGUUGAAUGAAGUUUUCUCACAAUAUAGAAAGUGGAUCAGAUUCAUAAUUAAAUAGAAAAAGGAAUGAAACUA